AAACAGGAGGGAAUGUUAGAGUGAAUUGUUAAUGUUCGUCAUUUUUAUGCUUGCCAUCUCUACAUUGUUUAACUGUGGGAUGAAAGCAGUUCCACAGUCCCCCUCCCCAGAUUCUUGAGUUUUUGGGUGAGGGGCUGUAGGUUUGAUUACAGACACAUCCUAUCUGGAAGGUCUGUUUGAUGUAAGCUUCCUGCCCAGCAGGAGGACACACACACACACACACACACACACACACACACACACACAUAUAUAUACAUACAGUGCCUCGUCUUUGUAACCAAGGGGGGUUAAGAGGGGAGGUACGUGUUGUAAACUAUUGUGUGAACUGUAACAGUUUGUCAAUAAAUAGCUGCGAGGGAAGCUGCUCUUUUGAAGGACUUUGGGCUGGAGACAGGUUAGGAGCGUGAGCUCCAAGAGCUGGUUCUUGACCAAAGGCCUCCCUUGCGCAAGUAAUCGAUCGAA